rnacentral:rRNA from 1 species
CCUACGGGAGUCAGCAGUGGGGAAUAUUGGGCAAUGGGCGCAAGCCUGACCCAGCAACGCCGCGUGAAGGAAGAAGGCCCUCGGGUUGUAAACUUCUUUUGUCAGGGACGAAACAAUUGACGGUACCUGACGACUAAGUCACGGCUAACUACGUGCCAGCAGCCGCGGUAAUACGUAGGGGGCAAGCGUUAUCCGGAUUUACUGGGGGUAAAGGGCGUGUAGGCGGGAGAGCAAGUCAGAUGGGAAAUUCCAGGGCUGAACCCUGGAACUGCAUUUGAAACUGGUUUUCUUGAGUGAUGGAGAGGGGGGUGGAAUUCCAUGUGUAGCGGUGAAAUGCGUAGAGAUACGGAGGAACACCAGUGGCGAAGGUGGCCUGCUGGACAUUAACUGACGCUGAGGCGCGAAAGCGUGGGGAGCAAACAGGAUUAGAUACCCGUGUAGUC